rnacentral:rRNA from 1 species
GUUGAACGCUGGCGGCAUGCUUUACACAUGCAAGUCGAACGGCAGCGCGGGCUUCGGCCUGGCGGCGAGUGGCGAACGGGUGAGUAAUACAUCGGAACGUGCCCGGUAGUGGGGGAUAGCGCGCGGAAAGCGGGAUUAAUACCGCAUACGACCUGAGGGUGAAAGCGGGGGAUCUUCGGACCUCGCGCUAUUGGAGGGGCCGAUGGCGGAUUAGCUAGUUGGUGGGGUAAAGGCCUACCAAGGCGACGAUCUGUAGCUGGUCUGAGAGGACGACCAGCCACACUGGAACUGAGACACGGCCCAGACUCCUACGGGAGGCAGCAGUGGGGAAUUUUGGACAAUGGGCGAAAGCCUGAUCCAGCCAUGCCGCGUGUGUGAUGAAGGCCUUCGGGUUGUAAAGCACUUUUGGCGGGAACGAAAAGGACUGUGCCAAUACCACGGUUCGAUGACGGUACCCGCAGAAUAAGCACCGGCUAACUACGUG